rnacentral:pre_miRNA from 1 species
AAAACUGUCAGACCGUCGGUCUACCGAGCAAUAUCAGCCGCUCGGUGGAAGAUCUUUCCUUCGUCGU